AGAGUUUGAUCAUGGCUCAGGACGAACGCUGGCGGCGUGCUUAACACAUGCAAGUCGCACGGAAGCAGCAAUGCUUCAGUGGCGAACGGGUGCGUAACACGUGAGAAAUCUGUCCAUCGGCGGGGGAUAGCCGGCCCAACGGCCGGGUAAUACCGCGUACGUCGGCGAGAACGCAUGUUCUUGCCGGGAAAGCAGCAAUGCACCGAUGGAGGAUCUCGCGGCCUAUCAGCUUGUUGGCGGGGUAAUGGCUCACCAAGGCUUCGACGGGUAGCUGAUCUGAGAGGAUGAUCAGCCACACUGGCACUGCGACACGGGCCAGACUCCUACGGGAGGCAGCAGUAAGGAAUAUUGCGCAAUGGGCGAAAGCCUGACGCAGCGACGCCGCGUGGGGGAUGAAGGUCUUCGGAUUGUAAACCCCUUUCGGGAGGGAAGAUGGGAUGGGGUAACCCAUUCGGACGGUACCCCCAGAAGCAGCCACGGCUAACUUCGUGCCAGCAGCC
rnacentral:rRNA from 1 species